ACGGCUCAGUAACACGGGGCUAACCUACCCUCAGGACGAGGACAAACCCGGGAAACUGGGGCUAAUACUCGACAGGUGAGGAUACCUGGAAUGGUUUCUCAUUCAAAGGGCUUUGGAAACAUGCUUUUCAAAGUCGCCUGGGGAUGGGGCCGCGUCCGAUCAGGUUGUUGGUGAGGUAACGGCUCACCAAGCCUAUAACCGGUACGGGCCGUGAGAGCGGUAGCCCGGAGAUGGGCACUGAGACAAGGGCCCAGGCCCUACGGGGCGCAGCAGUCGCGAAAACUCCGCAAUGCACGAAAGUGUGACGGGGCUACCCCGAGUGCCGUCCGCUGAGGAUGGCUUCUCCUCGGUGUAACUAGCCGGGGGAAUAAGGAGAGGGCAAGACUGGUGUCAGCCGCCGCGGUAAUACCAGCUCUCCGAGUGGUAGGGAUGAUUAUUGGGCUUAAAGCGUCCGUAGCCGGCUUAGCAAGUCUCCUGUUAAAUUCAGCGACCUAAUCGUUGAGCCGCGGGAGAUGCUACUAGGCUAGGAGGCGGGAGAGGUCGACGGUACUUCCGGGGUAGGGGUGAAAUCCUAUAAUCCCGGGAGGACCACCAGUGGCGAAGGCUGUCGACUAGAACGCGCUCGACGGUGAGGGACGAAAGCUGGGGGAGCGAACCGGAUUAGAUACCCGGGUAGUCCCAGCCGUAAACGAUGCGGGCUAGGUGUUGGGGUGGCUACGUGCCACUUCAGUGCCGCAGGGAAGCCAUUAAGCCCGCCGCCUGGGGAGUACGGCCGCAAGGCUGAAACUUAAAGGAAUUGGCGGGGGAGCACCACAAGGCGUGAAGCUUGCGGUUCAAUUGGAGUCAACGCCGGG
rnacentral:rRNA from 1 species